rnacentral:tRNA from 1 species
UCCCUCCUAGCUCAGUCGGUAAAGAAUCUGCCUGCAAUGCAGGAAACCAGGGUUCGAUUCCUGGGUUGGGAA